rnacentral:rRNA from 1 species
GGGUCAGUAGGUUGGUCGUGCCACCGGUACGUACUGGUCUCACUGAUUCCUCCUUCCUGAUGAACCGUAAUGCCAUUAAUUUGGUGUUGCGGGGAAACAGGACUGUUACUUUGAAAAAAUUAGAGUGUUUAAAGCAAGCUAACGCUUGAAUACAUUAGCAUGGAAUAAUGGAAUAGGACGAUCGAUCCUAUUUUGUUGGUUUCUAGGAUUGACGUA